GGGCCCAUAGCUCAAUGGCAGAGCCCCCGGCUCAUAACCGGUAGGUUCCUGGUUCGAGUCCAGGUGGGCCCACCA
rnacentral:tRNA from 1 species